rnacentral:rRNA from 1 species
GAGUUUGAUCGUGGCUCAGAACGAACGCUGGCGGCAUGCCUAACACAUGCGAGUCGAACGCUUAUCUUCGGAUAGGAGUGGCGCACGGGUGAGUAACGCGUGGGAACCUGCCCUGGGGUGGGGGAUAACCGAUGGAAACGUCGGCUAAUACCGCAUACGUCCUGAGGGAGAAAGAUUUAUCGCCCUGGGAGGGGCCCGCGUCGGAUUAGCUAGUUGGUGGGGUAAUGGCCUACCAAGGCGAUGAUCCGUAGCUGGUCUGAGAGGAUGAUCAGCCACACUGGGACUGAGACACGGCCCAGACUCCUACGGGAGGCAGCAGUGGGGAAUAUUGGACAAUGGGCGCAAGCCUGAUCCAGCAAUGCCGCGUGAGUGAUGAAGGCCUUAGGGUUGUAAAGCUCUUUCGGCGGGGACGAUGAUGACGGUACCCGCAGAAGAAGCCCCGGCUAACUUCGUGCCAGCCGCCGCCGUAAU